rnacentral:rRNA from 1 species
AUUGAACGCUGGCGGCAUGCCUUACACACGCAAGUCGAACGGUAACGGGUCCUUCGGGAUGCCGACGAGUGGCGAACGGGUGAGUAAUUAUAUCGGAACGUGCCCAGGUAUGGGGGGAGUAACUGCUCGAAAGAGCAGCUAAUACCGCAUACGACCUGAGGGUGAAAGGGGGGGAUCGCAAGACCUCUCGCUAUUGGAGCGGCCGAUAUCAGAUUAGCUAGUUGGUGGGGUAAAGGCCUACCAAGGCAACGAUCUGUAGUUGGUCUGAGAGGACGACCAGCCACACUGGGACUGAGACACGGCCCCAGACUCCUACGGGAGGCAGCAGUGGGGAAUUUUGGACAAUGGGCGCAAGCCUGAUCCAGCAAUGCCGCGUGCAGGAAGAAGGCCUUCGGGUUGUAAACUGCUUUUGUCAGGGAAGAAAUCUUCUGGGCUAAUACCCCGGGAGGAUGACGGUACCUGAAGAAUAAGCACCGGCUAACUACGUG